AUUUCGUUGUUCCGCAUGUGCUUCCGAUAUGUCCCAAUUUAUUGUUCACAAUACCUUUUUGUACUCUGGUGUUUGUGGGAUUAUUUGGACCUUUGCUAGAAAUGGUAAAGGGUAUGUGCUUAGAGCCCGCGAUGCUCUAGAUUAUGUUUGGUGGUCAUUCAGAAAUGGAUAGACCAUAUUAUGUUUGGAAUUCCACUUCACCUUCUAUCUGUUUGAUAUGAAAUUCAGAGCCGACCUAGCACUUGGGUAGGGUGAGAGGGCUCGAGUAGGAAAGGGCUACCCGUGGAUGGAGU
rnacentral:lncRNA from 1 species